rnacentral:rRNA from 1 species
CUAAUACAUGCUAAAGCCCCGACUUCGGAAGGGGUGUGUUUAUUAGAUAAAAAGCCAAUGCCCUUCGGGGCUCCUUUGGUGAUUCAUGAUAACCUUUCUGAUCGCAAAUGGCCUCCGCGCCGGCGACGGUUCAUUCAAAUUUCUGCCCUAUCAACUUUCGAUGGUACGGUAGUGGCCUACCAUGGUGUCAACGGGUAACGGGGAAUUAGGGUUCGAUUCCGGAGAGGGAGCCUGAGAAACGGCUACCACAUCCAAGGAAGGCAGCAGGCGCGCAAAUUACACAAUGUCGACUCGACGAUGUAGUGACAAUAAAUACUGAUACAGGGCUCUUUUGGGUCUUGUAAUUGGAAUGAGUACAAUUUAAACCUCUUAACGAGGAACAAUUAGAGGGCAAGUCUGGUGCCAGCAGCCGCGGUAAUUCCAGCUCUAAUAGCGUAUAUUAAAGUUGUUGCAGUUAAAAAGCUCGUAGUUGAACCUUUGGCUUGGCGAGCACGUCCGCCUCACCGCGUGCACGUGACCCGCCGAGCCUUUUCUUCUGGAGAACCGCAUGCCCUUCACUGGGUGUGUUGGGGACCAGGACUUUUACUUUGAAAAAAUUAGAGUGUUCAAAGCAGGCCUUUGCUCGAAUACGUUAGCAUGGAAUAAUGGAAUAGGACGUGCGGUCCUAUUUUGUUGGUUUCUAGGACCGCCGUAAUGAUUAAUAGGGACAGUCGGGGGCAUCAGUAUUCAAUUGUCAGAGGUGAAAUUCUUGGAUUUAUUGAAGACUAACUACUGCGAAAGCAUUUGCCAAGGAUGUUUUCAUUAAUCAGUGAACGAAAGUUAGGGGAUCGAAGACGAUCAGAUACCGUCGUAGUCUUAACCAUAAACUAUGCCAGCUGGGGAUCGGACGGUGUUUCUAUUGUGACCCGUUCGGCACCCUACGAGAAAUCAAAGCGUUUG